UGGGGAAUAUUGCACAAUGGGCGCAAGCCUGAUGCAGCCAUGCCGCGUGUGUGAAGAAGGCCUUCGGGUUGUAAAGCACUUUCAGCGGGGAGGAAGGCGAUAAGGUUAAUAACCUCAUCGAUUGACGUUACCCGCAGAAGAAGCACCGGCUAACUCCGUGCCAGCAGCCGCGGUAAUACGGAGGGUGCAAGCGUUAAUCGGAAUUACUGGGCGUAAAGCGCACGCAGGCGGUCUGUCAAGUCGGAUGUGAAAUCCCCGGGCUCAACCUGGGAACUGCAUUCGAAACUGGCAGGCUAGAGUCUUGUAGAGGGGGGUAGAAUUCCAGGUGUAGCGAUGAAAUGCGUAGAGAUCUGGGGGAAUACCGGUGGCGAAGGCGGCCCCCUGGACAAAGACUGACGCUCAGGUGCGAAAGCGUGGGGAGCAAACAGG
rnacentral:rRNA from 1 species